AACGGCCAUACCAUGCUGAAUAUACCGGUUCUCGUUAGGUCACCGAAGUCAAGCAUCAUUGGGCGCGGUCAGUACUUGGGUGGGUGACCACCUGGGAACACCGCGUGCCGUU
rnacentral:rRNA from 1 species